UGGAGAAGCCUAUAAGCUAAUGUUCAAAGUUCUCUAAGAAAAGUGGAAGGAACUGAAAAAUUGUAAAAGGCUUGUAGAACAAUAUCUAUCACAGUGUAGCAUUAUUAUUUGUAUCGACCUAUUGGCUGAAACCUAUAUGGAAUUUCUAACUAGAUAAUAUAAUAUUAUUUAUAUAUUUCCCUUUUAGAUUGAAUUCAUUAAUCCUCUAAUCUUCAAAUAGUUUUUUUUUUUUUAUAUCAUUUAAACCUAUACUAUCCAUAAUCUAUA
rnacentral:lncRNA from 1 species